rnacentral:lncRNA from 1 species
UAGUUACGCUCAGGUUUCACCAACUUCGCGUCGGGUUCACUUCAGUGAAAUCUUGUUAAAGCAAACCAACAGUUGAUUGAACCUUAGGACGGUAGCGAAAGGAACCUUCUAGCUAACCGGGUAUUUUUAGAGCUUUCUUUAUUUUCAGUUACAAAACCUUUAAUGCAUUCUUUAAGUUUUCAAGUUCUUUUAUUCUUUAUAAGUUUAAGCCAUAGUUCUUUUAUUCAUGCAAGCUUU